rnacentral:rRNA from 1 species
UACGUAGGGACCGAGCGUUGUCCGGAAUCAUUGGGCGUAAAGAGCGUGUAGGCGGCCACUUAAGUCCUGCGUGAAAUCUUGCGGCUCAACCGCAAGCGGUCGUGGGAAACUGGGUGGCUAGAGUGCGGGAGAGGAGAGUGGAAUUCCUGGUGUAGCGGUGGAAUGCGCAGAUAUCAGGAAGAACACCCGUGGCGAAGGCAGGUCUCUGGGCCACUACUGACGCUGAGAAGCGAAAGCAUGGGGAGCGAACAGG